CAAGGAAUUUUCGGCAAUGGGCGACAGCCUGACCGAGCAACAUCGCGUGGAGGACGACGGCCUUCGGGUUGUAAACUCCUUUUGUCGGGGAUGAAGAUGACAGUACCCGGCGAAUAAGCCCCGGCUAACUCCGUGCCAGCAGCCGCGGUAAGACGGAGGGGGCAAGCGUUGUCCGGACUCACUGGGCGUAAAGGGUGCGUAAGCGGUCUGGUGCGUCGGCGCUGAAAUCACGGGGCUUAACUCCGUGGCGCGUGCCGAUACGACUGGACUUGAGGCUCUGAGAGGGUGGCGGAACUCCUGGUGUAGUGGUGAAAUGCGUAGAGAUCAGGAAGAACACCCGUGGCGCAAGCGGCCACCUGGCAGAGACCUGACGCUGAGGCACGAAAGCGUGGGGAGCGAACCGGAUUAGAUACCCGGGUAGUCCACGCCGUAAACGAUGUCGACUUGGGGUAUGGCUACCGUUAAGGUGGCUGUGUCCCUAAGCUUACGCGGAAGUCGACCGCCUGGGAACUACGAGCGCAAGC
rnacentral:rRNA from 1 species